GGGAUAAUAGUAUAGUGGUUAGUAUAUCUCCUUGUGGGUGGAAAUCCAACUUCGGAGACGACCCAGGUUCGAUUCCUGGUUAUCCCA